rnacentral:rRNA from 1 species
GACGAACGCUGGCGGCGUGCCUAAUACAUGCAAGUCGAGCGGACGAAUCGAAAGCUUGCUUUUGAUUCGUUAGCGGCGGACGGGUGAGUAACACGUGGGCAACCUGCCCUGUAGACGGGGAUAACACCGAGAAAUCGGUGCUAAUACCGGAUAACACGAAAUGUCGCAUGACGUUUCGUUGAAAGACGGCGCAAGCUGUCGCUACAGGAUGGGCCCGCGGCGCAUUAGCUAGUUGGUGAGGUAACGGCUCACCAAGGCGACGAUGCGUAGCCGACCUGAGAGGGUGAUCGGCCACACUGGGACUGAGACACGGCCCAGACUCCUACGGGAGGCAGCAGUAGGGAAUCUUCCGCAAUGGACGAAAGUCUGACGGAGCAACGCCGCGUGAGCGAAGAAGGCCUUCGGGUCGUAAAGCUCUGUUGUUAGGGAAGAACAAGUAACGCAGUAACUGGCGUUACCGUGACGGUACCUAACGAGAAAGCCACGGCUAACUACGUGCCAGCCGCCGCGGUAA